AUUGAACGCCGGCGGCAUGCCUUACACAUGCAAGUCGAACGGCAGCACGGGGCAACCUGGUGGCGAGUGGCGAACGGGUGAGUUAUGCAUCGGAACGUACCUUUCAGUGGGGGAUAACGUAGCGAAAGUUACGCUAAUACCGCAUAUCCUGUGAGCAGGAAAGCAGGGGAUCGCAAGACCUUGCGCUGAUUGAGCGGCCGAUGUCAGAUUAGCUAGUUGGUGAGGUAAAGGCUCACCAAGGCGACGAUCUGUAGCGGGUCUGGGAGGAUGAUCCGCCACACUGGAACUGAGACACGGUCCAGACUCCUACGGGAGGCAGCAGUGGGGAAUUUUGGACAAUGGGGGCAACCCUGAUCCAGCCAUGCCGCGUGAGUGAAGAAGGCCUUCGGGUUGUAAAGCUCUUUCGGCCGGGAAGAAAUCGCACGGGCUAAUACCCUGUGUGGAUGACGGUACCGGAAUAAGAAGCACCGGCUAACUACGUGCCAGCAGCCGUGGUAACAC
rnacentral:rRNA from 1 species